AAUAAUCAUAAAAAAUAUAAUAGACUUCCCAAAAUACCCUCCAUUUUCCCUUUUUUCUUCCUCCAAUUUCCUAGCCAACAACAACAUAUAUCCAGAUUUUCUACUACUCUCCACCAUUGCUUGCAUUGCUUCGAUCGAAACCUCAAAUGCUUCGAAUCGAAGCAGAGCUACUCCAAUUCUUCAAUUCGAAGCACAGGGGCAUCGAUCGUAGCCUUGCUGCAUCGAUUUGAAGCUUAGAGGCUUCGAUGGAAGCCACCGUGCUUCGAUCUGAAGACUGAAGACUGCUUCUAGGGUUCUUCGGUCAAGAAUGGCAGUGCGAUUGUUGGUCGCGGGGCUGGCGCAGCGCUGCUGGUGGCAAUGGCGAUAGCGAUGGCUAAUGGAGGGCCUACAGGCAAUAACAGCGAAGGUGCAUGCAGAAGGAAGAUAACGGGCCAUCAUACGUUCACAAAUUCUUCCAUGUUCGUUCCUUAAAAGUGGGAAGUAGACCUGAUCCCGGCCCAGAUGGUGAAGCAUGUAAGCCUAUGAGACCCGACUCUCGAUCUGGGCCAGAAGCCCUGAUGCAGAACCAUCUUGUACCAGUUGAGGUUGACGAUCAAAUUAGGACCUCAACUUGAGGAGGACAAUCAACUUUUAGACUAUGUUUGGACUUCCGGAUUAUCUCGAAAUGAUCAUUCCAGAUGGAUCCUGCAGGAGCAAACAGUCUGCAUAACGAGUUCUGAUCUAGAAGGUGAAGCAUUGGCUUAGUUAAUCCUGAGAGCUCUUUCGCAUUGUUCAUCCAAUGGCCAUGGAACCAAGCAGUUCCGUUCAGUGUACAGACAAGUUGCAUCGGCACACACAUAUUACAAGAAUCACUACUUACAAUUUCUACAAAAAUAUACUGUGCUAUCCCCACCCCAUCUGAACCCCAAAAGAAUAGCCCUACUGUGUAUGUAACAGCUCCAUGCUGGCUUAUUUGAGCAAAACUCUGAUCCCGUUCGUCAACCACCUAUAAGCAAAAAAAAAAAAA